GAUGAACGCUGGCGGCGUGCCUAAUACAUGCAAGUCGAGCGAAUGGAUUAAGAGCUUGCUCUUAUGAAGUUAGCGGCGGACGGGUGAGUAACACGUGGGUAACCUGCCCAUAAGACUGGGAUAACUCCGGGAAACCGGGGCUAAUACCGGAUAACAUUUUGAACCGCAUGGUUCGAAAUUGAAAGGCGGCUUCGGCUGUCACUUAUGGAUGGACCCGCGUCGCAUUAGCUAGUUGGUGAGGUAACGGCUCACCAAGGCAACGAGGCGUAGCCGACCUGAGAGGGUGAUCGGCUACACUGGGACUAGGACACGGCCCAGACUCCUCAGGGGGGCAGCGGUAGGGAAUCUUCCGCAAGGGACGAAAGUCUGACGGAGCAACGCCGCGGGAGUGAAGAAGGCUUUCGGGUCGUAAAACUCUGUUGUUAGGGAAGAUCAAGUGCUAGUUGAAUAAGCUGGCACCUUGACGGUACCUAACCAGAAAGCCACGGCUAACUACGUGCCAGCCGCCGCCGUAA
rnacentral:rRNA from 1 species